rnacentral:rRNA from 1 species
UACGUAGGGUGCAAGCGUUGUCCGGAAUUAUUGGGCGUAAAGAGCUCGUAGGCGGUCUGUCGCGUCGGCUGUGAAAACUCGGGGCUCAACUCCGAGCUUGCAGUCGAUACGGGCAGGCUAGAGUUCGGCAGGGGAGACUGGAAUUCCUGGUGUAGCGGUGAAAUGCGCAGAUAUCAGGAGGAACACCGGUGGCGAAGGCGGGGUCUCUGGGCCGAUACUGACGCUGAGGAGCGAAAAGCGUGGGGGAGCGAACAGG